rnacentral:misc_RNA from 1 species
CAAACUUCUAUUCAAAUCUUAUGGUGCUAGCUGUUGUGACUUGGCAAGUUCUGGCUAUCUCCAUCCCAAUGGUUUAUCUAGCCAUUCGGUUGCAGAAAUACUACUAUGCAUCAGCCAAAGAGUUGAUGCGGAUAAAUGGUACCACCAAAUCAUUUGUGGCUAACCAUCUUGCUGAAUCUAUUGCUGGAGCUGUCACUAUAAGGGCAUUCAAAGAGGAAGAUAGAUUUUUUGCAAAGACUUUUGAGCUUAUUGAUAUAAAUGCCAGUCCUUUCUUCCACAAUUUUGCAGCAAACGAGUGGUUGAUUCAACGACUGGAAACUAUCAGUGCAACUGUUCUCGCAUCUUCGGCACUCUGCAUGGUUUUGCUUCCUCCUGGAACUUUCAGUCCAGGAUUUAUUGGGAUGGCUUUGUCCUAUGGUCUUUCCUUAAACAUGUCUCUUGUUUUUUCCAUUCAAAACCAGUGCACACUCGCAAAUUACAUAAUUUCUGUAGAAAGGCUUAACCAGUAUAUGCACAUCCCAAGUGAAGCUCCUGUGAUUGUUAAAGAGAACCGUCCACCAGUUAAUUGGCCAACAAGGGGUAAAGUUGAAAUUCAAGAUUUGCAGAUCAGAUAUAGGGAAGAUUCCCCGCUUGUUCUUAGGGGGAUCAGUUGUACAUUUGAAGGAGGCCAUAAAAUUGGUGUUGUUGGCCGGACUGGCAGUGGCAAGACUACACUCAUUGGUGCAUUAUUUCGAUUAGUGGAGCCAACAAGUGGAAGGAUUUUGGUAGAUGGAGUUGACAUUUCUAAAAUUGGUCUUCAUGAUUUAAGGUCCCGUUUUGGGAUUAUACCUCAAGAUCCUACACUCUUCAAUGGUACAGUAAGAUACAACUUGGAUCCCUUAUGUCAACAUACUGAUAAGGAUAUAUGGGAGGUACUUGGAAAGUGUCAGCUAAAAGAGCCAGUUGAGGAAAAAGAGAAG